GUCGUUUCUAGUUGGGUGUACUUCUUUUCCUGCUGUAUCAGCCCUAAGAAGCUUUUUAAAUUCAUCAGCUUUAAGGUUAAUCGGUCAAAGAAACUAAUCGAAAUAAUUCCAGAAGUAACGUACCACCUGCACCUACUUAUCCGCUGAAUCCAGUACCUAGUUAAUAUCCUUUACAAUAGUCACAGUAGGUACGCGUUAUUAAACUGAAAGUAGCAUAAUCAAUUCUUUCAAUAAGUUCCUUUAUCUUUUUCAAUGUUCAAUACUUUGUUUUUUUCAAUUUCGGCGGGAACAAUUAAACCUUAAAUCAAUAGAUGGCGUAACAAAUACAGAGGUCACUAAUAACGUGUAGAGUACAUCAAAUUUUGCUUUGUGUUAAGGCCUAUAGCCAUAGUCGCUUUUGGCAAAGUGACUCGUUUUUGUUGAGAGCAUUGUAGCCCCUGAGCUUUUUGUGAUUGUUUUUUUUUUCGAGGAAAAAUACUAAUUAAUAAGAAGAGAAAAUGGAUAGGCAGACUAACCAAGAUUUAUUAAAUAAUAAUUACGUGGGACAAUUUCAAGGAUGUGAUUUAACGCGAGCCCUCUCACCCAACUGCGUUUUACUCCCGCCUAAUUUCCUCUCCUAUAAUCAAUUUAUGCCUGAUACCGAGAUUUUCAUAAAUCAGCCAUUUGGACAAUACUGUGCCAGUCUCUUUAAUAACAACGGAGGGUAGUGACGGCGAAGAGAUGAGCACGGCCGAUUUGGAAGGUCUUCCUGAAGCCGUUACUGGCGCUACGGGCCCAUUAACAAUUAGGAUGGUGAUGCAGGGAAAGGAGGUCGGCAGUAUUAUCGGCAAGAAAGGCGAUAACGUUAAGAAGUACAGGGAAGAGAGUGGUGCCAAAAUCAACAUAUCAGACGCCUCCUGCCCAGAACGGAUCGUUACAGUUAGCGGCUCUUCUGAAGGGAUUUACAAGGCUUUUACGAUGAUCUGCAAGAAGUUCGAAGAGGAUAUCAACGCCCAGCACGGUCAAAGCGCUUUACCUAAACCUCCCGUAACGAUAAGGCUAGUUGUCCCAGCUAGCCAAUGCGGCUCCUUAAUUGGAAAAGCUGGAGCCAAGAUUAAAGAAAUUCGUGACGCUACCGGUGCUUCUAUACAAGUCGCUAGCGAAAUGCUACCAAAUUCAACGGAGAGGGCCGUUACGAUUUCCGGUUCUGCUGAUCAGAUUACGCAAUGCAUCUUUCAUAUCUGCGCUGUUAUGCUAGAGUCCCCUCCCAAGGGCGCCACAAUACCUUACCGACCUAAACCUAUUCUGCCUCCUGGCUUAAUGGCGGUCGCCGCCGGAGGAGCACCCGCCGCCUCUUUUCUACCCGCUCCUUCUCCGACAGUCUUCUUCCCUCCAUCGCCGGACGCCGCCCACCUGCACAAACUGGCCCUACAACCGCAGACGAUGCUGCCACCUGGCGCCUUUCCGUUUAUUGGUCAAAGCCUCCUACCAGGGGCAGCCACUUCCACAACCGGUUUACCCACCGGGAGUGUCUCGUUAAGACCAAACGCACCUAUUCAGAAUGGAGCUGCUCAAACUCAUGAAAUGACUAUACCUAACGAUCUGAUUGGCUGUAUAAUAGGAAGAGGUGGUGCCAAGAUAAACGAAAUACGACAAUUGUCAGGCGCUCAAAUUAAAAUAGCGAACGCCGACGAAAGUUUAGGAGAUAGAAAAGUGACGAUUACGGGUACACCUGAUACCGUACAGGCCGCUCAGUAUUUGAUAAAUGCCAGCGUCGAGCUUCACGCCGUCGCUCAAGGCAUUCAACAUCAAAUUUCAACAAGUUUUCCUACUCCUACUGAAGCCGUUUCCUCAGCCAACGAUGCUAUUACAACGACCAGUAAUUCACAGGCCUUUACCGGUCUACCGGUAAUAAGUCCUCAGCAAUUUAUGGCCUCUGCUGGAUUGAGGCUACCCGUUAUCGGUUUACCGGUUUCGGCUACGCCAUUUGACCCUUCUUCAGCUGCUAAACUGACUGGUAAAGUAAAGCCUACUGUUGCAGCAGCCUCGAAGUUUACACCUUAUUAG
rnacentral:misc_RNA from 1 species